CUUUAGCCACAGACCUUGAGCUACUGUACAGUGGGUUGGGUUCCAUUUAGAAGUGUCCACUUCAUUCGCCCUUUCCGUGAGUCACACAGCUACGUGAAACGUAUUACUACUGAUAUGCAAAACUAUUAACUUUUCGCCUAGAGGUGGCAGCUUGAUACUGUAAGCCAUUGUUUCCAAAGGAGAUUUUAUUUGGGUCGCCAGCAUAGCGUAGUGACAAUUUGUGUUGUGUAAUAGGCCUAGCAUUGGGCC